rnacentral:misc_RNA from 1 species
AGCAGCCGCGGUAAUUCCAGCUCCAAUAGCGUAUAUUAAAGUUGUUGCAGUUAAAAAGCUCGUAGUUGAAUUUCGGGGUUAGUAGUUUGGUCGUGCCAAUGGUAUGUACUGGGCUCACUGAUUCCUCCUUCCUGAUGAACUGUAAUGCCAUUAAUUUGGUGUUGCAGGGAAACAGGACUGUUACUUUGAAAAAUUAGAGUGUUUAAAGCAAGCUAACGCUUGAAUACAUUAGCAUGGAAUAAUGAAAUAGGACGUUCGAACCUAUUUUGUUGGUUUCUAGGAUUGACGUAAUGAUUAAUAGGGAUAGUUGGGGGCAUUAGUAUUCAAUUGUCAGAGGUGAAAUUCUUGGAUUUAUUGAAGACUAACUACUGCGAAAGCAUUUGCCAAGGAUGUUUUCAUUAAUCAAGAACGAAAGUUAGGGGAUCGAAGACGAUCAGAUACCGUCGUAGUCUUAACCAUAAACUAUGCCGACUAGG